CCUACGGGCGGCAGCAGUGGGGAAUAUUGCACAAUGGGGGAAACCCUGAUGCAGCGACGCCGCGUGAGUGAAGAAGUAUUUCGGUACGUAAAGCUCUAUCAGCAGGGAAGAAAAUGACGGUACCUGACUAAGAAGCCCCGGCUAACUACGUGCCAGCAGCCGCGGUAAUACGUAGGGGGCAAGCGUUAUCCGGAUUUACUGGGUGUAAAGGGAGCGUAGACGGCAGCGCAAGUCUGGAGUGAAAUCCCAUGGCUUAACCAUGGAACUGCUUUGGAAACUGUGCAGCUAGAGUGCAGGAGAGGGAAGCGGAAUUCCGAGUGUAGCGGUGAAAUGCGUAGAUAUUAGGAGGAACACCAGUGGCGAAGGCGGCUUACUGGACUGUAACUGACGUUGAGGCUCGAAAGCGUGGGGAGCAAACAGGAUUAGAUACCCUUGUAGUC
rnacentral:rRNA from 1 species